UGCUUCCUGGGAAAUUAUGCUGUCCCUUCACCUUUCUUUCUUUAUAGAAAACCAACUAGAUAUUUAAACAGCUAUUUAAUAUGCCUAUCAUCAUGGAAAGUCAUAGGAACAAAGAAGGCCCAGCAGAUAUGGCAAGAAGAAAAGACUGCACUAAAAAAUUUCUGGCUGGGCUCACAGAAUGGAGCCAGCAGGGAGAUACCAGAGCAUGUGGGAUGUCUGCAGAUGAGGGAUUUCGAGCUAAGUUGCUGAGAUUGUUUCUAAACAUCUUUAUUCCUGGGAUGCAGAAACCUUUCAAGUUACACUUUGCAAAACUAUCUUUUGAAGUUAUGCUUUGAUAACAUUCAAGCCAGUGCAACUGAGACUGGCAGAAAACUCUCAAAAGCAGGAGGACACCCACAAAAACUAGACUGAAAUUCAUCAGAACUUGAAAAUGAAAAAAUUAAUGAAAAUGGCCUUUUUUUCUUGUCUUCUGGCUACGAACAACAUCAGUUGGAAGAAAAGUGUGAGUUCUGGAAAGAAAUGAGCAACCAGGUCAAGUGAAUUUUUACCAUAUGUAAUUAAGUUAUUACUUCAAACUGAUGUGCUCUCUGCCAGAGAGAUCUAAAAGUUUGGGAUGCAUGAAGAAACUGAAGAAAGUGAUGAUAGAGUCCUCACCCUGUGCUUCCUUAGGUUGGAGACUUGCCUCUGAUGUCCAUUUUUGUAGUGUCAGUCCCUAGAGAUGUGACUGAGAGCAAGCUGAAAGUGUUGCAGCUGCCUAAAAAUAAUUCCUAGCCAAAGGCUGACCAAUGAGUUUAUUGAAGUGGUGAGAUCCAAGCAAUGCCUGCAGUACUUCUCAGCCUUUAGGAGAAUAUCAGCUUCCCAUCUCUAAACCCCUUCUUAGCUUACCCCAUUCAGAAAAUUUUGUCUUAAAUAUAGGUAGCUUUGGACAAGUGGAAAUCAACACUUUGUGUUUGGAACUGGGGCUGGAUAAUGACAGUAAGCCUGAUGAGAGAUUCUGUAAAGCUGUGCAGCUUUACAGCCAGAGGCAGUGGGAUGAAAUUAGAGUGACAAAAAGUAAGCUGCAGACCAUAGAAGUAUCAGACUGGAACUUGGGUGCCUGUGUGAAAUGGUGGAAGGUCUGCUCCCUGUGAUCCUUGGUACUGUAGUGAGCUAAACUUGAAUUUCCUAGGAAUUGCCUUUUAUUGUAGGGAAUGCAGGAUCAGCAAAGCUUUGGCUGAGAUGACAGCAUAAGCUUUUGCAAUAUAUAUUUACAAUACUUAUAUGAAAUAAGCCAUAGAAUAAAUGAGGAGAGGAAAGAAAAUAAAAAAUUGCAUGUUUGGAAAGUGGAAUCUCUCUCAUGCAGUAUUUCCAGACUUGGUGCAAAGAUGUGUCAGUAGGAUAUUUACCUCUUUUCUAGUUAAAUGUAAAAGUUUUUCCUCAUUGCAAGCUAGCAAAGGACAGGUGCAUCCCAAUCAGUUCUCUUUCCCUACAUUUUACAAGGAAAUUCAGGAAUAUUUUGCUGCUCCACUUCCUCUUUUAUAUUGUGCAAUCUCCAGGAUUGCAAAAUACCUGGAGGUACUUCUAGCACUUGUUAAUAAGAGAUCUUAAAAUAGGAUCUGGAGUCAGCACUUUCACCACAUUCUUUCAAGUGUCACACAAAAUAUUCACUAAAUAAUUAAUUCAGCAGUUGGCAUCAUGUCACAAACAGUUGUGAAUAUGCAAGAAUAUGUUGGCAAAGUGAUAAUUUGGAUUUAAAAAUCUCACUGUAAAUAUUUCUGAAAAGGGAAGUCUUUAUGCAAUAAAUAGGAGUAUAAAAAAA